GACGAACGCUGGCGGCGUGCUUAACACAUGCAAGUCGAGCGGAAAGGCCCCUUCGGGGGUACUCGAGCGGCGAACGGGUGAGUAACACGUGGGCAACCUGCCCCGGUGACCGGGACAACAGUUCGAAAGGACUGCUAAUAUCGGAUGAUGUGUGACCUGCCAAGUGGGUCACACCAAAUGGUAGCUUCGGCCUCCGCACCGGGAUGGGCCCGCGCCGGAUUAGCUUGUUGGUGAGGUAACGGCUCACCAAGGCGACGAUCCGUAGCUGGUCUGAGAGGACGAUCAGCCACACUGGGACUGAGACACGGCCCAGACUCCUACGGGAGGCAGCAGUGGGGAAUCUUGCGCAAUGGGCGGAAGCCUGACGCAGCAACGCCGCGUGAGCGAAGACGGCCUUCGGGUUGUAAAGCUCUGUCAGGAGGGACGAAGCCACUCGGGUGAAUAGCCCAGAGGGUGACGGUACCUCCAGAGGAAGCCCCGGCUAACUACGUGCCAGCCGCCGCAGUAAUAC
rnacentral:rRNA from 1 species